UCCCUUCCAAAGCUGCGUUCUCAGUCGAAGAGGAUGACCAUCCCCAAUAAAGGAGGACCAAUCUUCUGUCAAGGGUAUAUGAGUAGCCGCACUCCCCUCCUAGAACCUCCAAGCUUUCAAAUAACUGGUGAUUCUUAAGAUACAAGGAGCUAACUAGGGGUUAGAAUGAUUUCCCAAACUUCUCCUAAAAGGAGACUAUAGUUCCAGACCAUACUGUCAACUUUU
rnacentral:sRNA from 1 species